rnacentral:rRNA from 1 species
GAUGAACUCUGGCGGCGUGCCUAAUACAUGCAAGUCGAGCGAAGCGGGGACGGGUGAGUAACACGGGGAUAACCUACUAUAAGACUGGGAUAAAUUAGGGAAACCGGAGCUAAACCGGAUACUUAUCGAUGGAUCCGCGCUGCAUUAACUAGUUAGUAAGGUAACGGCGUACCAAGGCAACGAUGCAUAGCAUACCUGAGAGGGUCAUCGGCAACACUGGAACUGAGAAACGGGCCAGACUACUAAGGGAGGCAGCAGUAGGGAAUCUUCCGCAAUGGGCGAAAGCCUGACGGAGCAAAGCCGCUUGAGUGAUGAAGGUCUUCGGAUCGUAAAACUCUGUUAUUAGGGAAGCGGUACCUAAUCAGAAAGCCACGGCUAACUACGUGCCAGCAGCCGCGGGAAUAC